rnacentral:lncRNA from 1 species
GGGGAGAAAGGAAAACCCUUUUUCCUUCAUAAAAUUUCAAGAAUUCAGGGAAUUAAGGUGCUAUUGAUCCAGAAAAUCGAAUGCAUGAAGUAAAUUCCUUGCUAAUCUAAGUGUACUGAAGACAAGGAGUCAUGUCAAUAGAGGCACAAAUAUGGAAGCGCUACGGGUCGAAGGUAAACACGGAAGCUAUGUGUAAAUUCGGACGCACGAGGUUAUUUGUAUGA